UACGUAGGUGACAAGCGUUGUCCGGAUUUACUGGGCGUAAAGAGCGCGCAGGCGGUCGUUCAAGUCGAGUGUGAAAGCCCCCGGCUCAACUGGGGAGGGUCAUUCGAUACUGAUCGACUCGAAGGCAGGAGAGGGAAGUGGAAUUCCCGGUGUAGUGGUGAAAUGCGUAGAUAUCGGGAGGAACACCGGUGGCGAAGGCGGCCUUCUGGACAGUGACUGACGCUGAGACGGCGAAAGCGUGGGGAGCAAACAGG
rnacentral:rRNA from 1 species